GCCACAGGCUGUGGGAGGGGCUGCUCUGGAGGGGGCGGGGUCUCCAGGGGGGGCGCAGGCGCAGCUGAGCUGCUCACGCUCCCGGUCCCAGGGCCGGGCGCAGCCUCUGCACACCGCCCGCCGCCGCGAUCUUGGAUUGCGGGUCGUGCGCCGUGUUUCUGCCCCAGGCCCUCCGAGCUGAGUGGUAGGGGCAGCCACUUCACACGAGGAACGCUGGUCUAAAGCGCCAGGUCUGAGGCUUCUGCACAGGCACCUUUGAGCAAAUGACAUUAGACUAAGCACAAAAGAAAAGAAAAAGGUUAGACUUUAUUUUAUUGCCCAGACUAUUUUUGUUCCUCGGGAAUUGUUCCUGGGCUUCACCGUGACUCCGGGUGCGAAGAGGUGGGGAAGCCUUUGUUCUGAGCGCGUGAAGCGGAGAAAAGCCUGAGAGCCCCUCCCUGGGCUGCCGGUCCCAGCUCACCUGGGAGGAGAGGAGGUGGAGAGAUCCCCGGUGAUGUGCUCUCACAGAAGCAGGUGACAGGUGGGAACACAAGGAGGCGGCGACUCUGCAGAGCAAGUUCCUCCGUUAUUCUUGGAAGAAGUAUUGGUCUAACGGUUUUUCACAGUCAGCGGUGAAAAUAUAAUGAAGAGCAGUAUUCCACUGCGAAUGGCGUGGAAGAACGGUGUGGUUGAAGCACAGUGAGUGAUUGAAUGCUCUGCUGCAUUAAUCCAAUCCACUCAAUAAAGAUGGGGCAGGCUGGCUUGCGUGAAAUGCAUUCCUGUGCUGGACAUUGUGCUGAUAGGACAAGGAUUGUGAUUGUUCCCAGGUGCUUAUGGGGUGGGUGAAUAACAAGCCCUUGGAGUCACUGAAGUGCAAAUGGUAUAAAUGUAUGUUACAUGUCAUGUUUCUCAUUCCCCGUAACGGAAGAACCUAAGAGAACAGAUGCGGCUGAUCCUGCAAGCGAGCUCUCUGUUUUUGGGUAAUUACACUCUUUCACAGUGACAUCUUUACAUUUGGAAAUAGGUGUCAGGAACACGGCGGGGCAGGUAUGUUCCAGUUAAACGGUCUCUCCUGCCCCUCCUCUGAUGAUCCUGGCGAACACGGUGCGGAUUCUUGGAUGUCUCUGGAAUGAUUCUCAGGCGGGCUGCAAGUAAUUUGAGGCUGAUAACUGUUAACAUGCUGAGGUUUGCAAAUGACCGGCUUUGUAAAUAAUUUAGAUCCAUUCAAGGUUACUGCUGUGAAAGUCGACGUGAUUGUGUUUUGAUGUCUCCCUAAAACUAUGUGCUGUGAAUUCUCUAUCCACCACCCUCCCUCCUUGUACACUGGGCUCUUUCCACUUUGCCCCAAGCUCUCGGGAGCGAUCUGAGGGAGGGAGCUGGUGCAGUCACGGUUUUACUCUCUGGAUGCUCCUGCGAGAUCCCUGCAGGUUGACUGUGUCCUGGACCCAUGGCCACAGCUCAGCUCAGGUGCUGCUCCCCACACAGCUCGCCUCCCUCUGGGCUCCAGAACCGUACCUCCAGCACCCCUGCAGGCCUGGGGGGGGCCGCGACUCACCACGCCACCAGCUUUGGGAGGGCACUUUCCCUCCUGACCCCCCAAAUCCUGCCCGUGGGAGGAAAUUGUCCCCUUCACAAAGGGUUCCCGUGUAGCUUCUCCUUAAAUAGCCGCGUGCCGUCUCUUUCCUGCCAGGCUGUUAAUGAGAGGUAGGAUGCUGUAUUGCUCAGCAUAUUUUACUUCAAAAUCUGGGUUACCUGGUGGGACUGACGUCUGAACUUGACUUCAUCCAUCCUGAGCCAGACACGGGUCUGAAAAGUAAAGCUCAACCUCUGAAUUGAGCCCCACGCAGCCCUUCAGAAGUAACAAGUUAUAACAACGGCGUCGUCUGCUAUGAGAAAUCGUGGGUCCUGGGGUUUCUGGUGCUAUUUAAUUAUCCGGUUUUAACUUUCCACCUUCCACCUAUGAGGAAGAAACUUAAGAGCAGCUCAUCUGAGCUCCCGGUUUCUGGAUGCGGGAAAACUAGGGUCCGGAAAGCGGACAUUCCUUUCUGGGGAGCAAGGUGCCAGCGGGUCUAAGCGCUGCCUCGGGGGGCUGAGGCUGCAGGAUGAGAGGGGCGCUUGUGGACCGAGAAUCCGGAAGUUGGUUUCUACCAGACUCACCCAAGUGAACGCCGAGCACCCGGUACCAACACCUUGUUGUAGACAUGAGCGAGGCAGACAUCCAUCCUGCCCUCCGGCAGCGUCCAUCCUUGCGGGGAAGGUGGAAAGUUAAAACCAGAUAGUUACCGUCUGUCACCACGACUGUGAAUGAGGCAACCAAGUAACAACAGAGAGAAGCCCACUUCAGGACGCAGCCGGGGAAGCCCUUUCGGCAGAGGUGACGCUCACGCCCAGAUGGCCCAGUAAGUCCGCGUGUUCCUCCCCAGGACUUGCCGUGUACCGGGCUCUGUGCUGGGCGGGACCUGACCGUGGCUCUUAAUAAAGGGACCGUCAGUUUUCCCACGACAGGGGUUAUGAUGGCAACGGACAGGAUGCAUUGCAAUUGCCCGAAGGGGGGUUCAGUGCCCUGGGGAGGUUGGGCAGGAUCCCCGAGAAAGUGAGGCUCCCAGCUGGGGACCACAAACAAAACCAAAGCCAAGUGUAGGUGUGCCUGGGGCCACAGGAGGCACAGGAGGCUUCAAGGGAAAGGCCGGGUGCUCGAGCCUGAGUGUAAAGGGAAGCCAGCAGCAAAGGUGAGGCUGGGGGUUGGGGGGCGACCAACUCUCAGGCCUUGUUCUAAGGCCUGCUGUCUUUAGAGCAUUGGAAGGAACUAGGCCUCCUUCGGGGUGUGUGUGUGUGCAUGGGGUCAGACGCAAAGAUUACUCUGCCUUUAGCAUGGGAGAGGCCUGGCCAGGCUGUCAGAGAAUCACGUGCAAAGGCCCUGAGAUCAAAAGAGCUCUGCGCAUCUCUUUGAAAAUUUGAAAGGAGACUGAUGUGUUGGCACAUCACAAGUGAGGGCGGGGUUAGGCAGAGGCAGCGCCGAGCCUCUGGGCUCUGAGAUGUGCUUUCAGUGACCCCCUGGGAGCCGGUGACGCUGCCUCAUAUUCCUCACUUUCUGCCUGCGCGACCGUGCUCAAGCCCCUGGUCCUCUCAGAACCUCAGUAUCCUCAACGUCAGCUGGGGCAAACGCAGGAGCUCCUGCUGUGGCUCAUCAGGUUAA